AUAAAGAGGGCCACAAAGAUGUUCUUCAUCUCCAUUAUUUCUUGUUUUUUUUUUGUUUUUUUUUUUGGUUUUUUGUUU
rnacentral:sRNA from 1 species